UGGGGAAUUUUGGACAAUGGGGGAAACCCUGAUCCAGCCAUCCCGCGUGUGCGAUGAAGGCCUUCGGGUUGUAAAGCACUUUUGGCAGGAAAGAAACGUCAUGGGUUAAUACCCCGUGAAACUGACGGUACCUGCAGAAUAAGCACCGGCUAACUACGUGCCAGCAGCCGCGGAAAUACGUAGGGUGCAAGCGUUAAUCGGAAUUACUGGGCGUAAAGCGUGCGCAGGCGGUUCGGAAAGAAAGAUGUGAAAUCCCAGAGCUCAACUUUGGAACUGCAUUUUUAACUACCGGGCUAGAGUGUGUCAGAGGGAGGUGGAAUUCCGCGUGUAGCAGUGAAAUGCGUAGAUAUGCGGAGGAACACCGAUGGCGAAGGCAGCCUCCUGGGAUAACACUGACGCUCAUGCACGAAAGCGUGGGGAGCAAACAGG
rnacentral:rRNA from 1 species